rnacentral:tRNA from 1 species
UCUCUGAUAGCUCAGUUGGUAAAGAAUCUGCCUGCAAUGCAGGAGACCCUGGUUCAAUUCCUGGGUUGGGAA